CAGCCAGUGAGCAGACCCUGACAGAGCGCGCACUUCCCUCAGUGUCCUGCUGACGGUGGAGGGCGCUAAAGAGCAAGAGGAAUGAACCAGAAACCUACAGAAUACAGGACUGAACUACUGACAACCAGGAGUAUACUGGGUUCUUUUGUGGAUGCAUAUUCUCUUCUGACCUUUAGAUGGCGCCAUACUCUCACCAAUGCAGAUUGUGGCCUCUUGGUUUGUAAACUGAUCAAACCUUCAUAGUUGAUGCAGCCGUUUCCAUCUUCCUGUCCUGCCAUCAGUUGCUCUACCUCGGCUUCGGUCAUCUUCUCACCUGCAGCCAAAAGACAUGAGGGACUUUCUGUUGACCUUAAUCUCAAGCUUUUGGUUUGCCCAGUACUCUAAUGACUUCUGCAUUGGUGGGGUUCUGACCCAGCGCCCUCAUGACAUCACCGCACUGAGCGUCUUCAUCCAUAGGAUGCUGCUCCUCGCCCAGAUCCAGGGACCCGGGGCUCUCGGGGGUGCCCGCUUUCAUGUUGUUUGGCCAACAUGAUCCCUCGCUGAAGGAGGACAGAG